rnacentral:lncRNA from 1 species
AUUAACCACAUUGGUUUAUGAAACUCAGAUAUGUCCAGUGAGUAUAGAAAAGGUUAGAGAUUUCAAGUUUUAUUGAAAAGUUUUUCAGACAUUAGACCCAAGAUUGGUGAAAAGCUAGAUAUUUAAGAACCAGUAGUUAAUUAUGUAUUAUUAAGUCAUGGGUUUAAGUGAGGCUUAAUAUAUACCACGGUGAAGAUUAUUGAUUUUGAAAGCAGAAGGCCAGGUAGAAAGUCCUGGCUCCAGCCUAGAGUGGUGGGAAGUGCUGUGGAGAGCAGUUGGAAGAAAAAUGCUACAGUUUUGUCACAGUUUUGAAGGCCGCGUAGGAACCUCAGAGGAGGGGAUCCCCCAAUUGGUAAUUAAAUGACAGUGAGAUGCAGCAUUUUGGAUCACUGGGGAGAAAUUUCUUCUCAUCUUGGGUAAAUGUCAAUGAGAAUGUUGUCUUUUCUUAGCCAAAACGUGGCAUGU